UCCUACGGGAGGCAGCAGUGGGGAAUAUUGCACAAUGGGGGGAACCCUGAUGCAGCCAUGCCGCGUGUGUGAAGAAGGCCUUCGGGUUGUAAAGCACUUUCAGCAGUGAGGAAGGUGGUAUGCCCAAUACGCAUAUCACUUGACGUUAGCUGCAGAAGAAGCACCGGCUAACUCCGUGCCAGCAGCCGCGGUAAUACGGAGGGUGCGAGCGUUAAUCGGAAUUACUGGGCGUAAAGCGCAUGCAGGUGGUUUGCUAAGUCAGAUGUGAAAGCCCGGGGCUCAACCUCGGAAGGUCAUUUGAAACUGGCAGGCUAGAGUACUGUAGAGGGGGGUAGAAUUUCAGGUGUAGCGGUGAAAUGCGUAGAGAUCUGAAGGAAUACCGGUGGCGAAGGCGGCCCCCUGGACAGAUACUGACACUCAGAUGCGAAAGCGUGGGGAGCAAACAGGAUUAGAUACCCUGGUAGUCCACGCCGUAAACGAUGUCUACUUGGAGGCUGUUCCCUAGAGGAGUGGCUUUCGGAGCUAACGCGUUAAGUAGACCGCCUGGGGAGUACGGUCGCAAGAUUAAAACUCAAAUGAAUUGACGG
rnacentral:rRNA from 1 species